UCUAUUCCCACAGCCUGUCCUGCCUCCUCCGCCCAUUCUCCUCGCGUCACCACGGGAGCCUCGCCGACGCCUGCUAUUCCUCCUCCCUCGUCUCUGUUCGACGCCGAGGACCAGUUCACCCCACACCUUUUCUCCACCCACGACCUAGGGUUGGUGAGGCUGGGUGUUCUCGCUGGGGUGGAGGAGCAGGGGAGGGCCGGGAGGCCGAAGGUGGGGGAGCAGCGAGGCCGGCGAAUGGAGCAGCGAGACCCGAACUCUAGGCAUUGUACACAUUGCGGGAUGGAGAAGAGGCCGAUGUGGGGCGCAAGGAGCAGAGGGGCAAGAAAGGUGGGGGUGUGACUUUCAUCUCCUCUCUUCUAAUCGCGACUCUUGCGACCUCGUCAUCGGUGCUCGCUCGGCUGGCGUACGGGGCGGCGGCAGGGACGUUGGCCCUCGGCACGAACUCGAAGCCGAGUCUAGCUGACGAGCCCCGUGAGGGUCCAGCAUCUGAAGAAGAAAUUUUAUUUUCACUUUCAAGACUAUGUGGAUCUUAUCAUAUGGAAGGUUAUGGGAUUGGAUCUCCAUUUUCCAAGAUUCUUAGCUGAUAAGUAUAUUGUGCGGAAAAAUCUCUACUGAAUGACAAAUCCAAGCAAUCGACGAAGAUUUCAUGCUCAACCUCCCUCACAGCCCCAGGUUGUGGCAACGCUGCAGAUAUGCCCAUUGCCAUUGAGCAUUUCUAUCUAUAUGCUUCUACAGAGUAUUUGGUUUUUUAACUAUACGCUUGACGAAAUAAUUUCCUUAUAAGCCGGGACAAGGCGUUUGUAGUUGGUAUUUGUACUAUAAGCUCAAUUUUUUUGGUUCAUCUCAUCUCUGGUUAUUUUUUCGUUUUUUGUGUUUCUGCAGCAUAUUAUCAUUAGCAUGUAAAACCUCUUAUAUUUCUUGUUUUCAACAAUUAUUCUUUGGCAGGGAAGACUAUGAUAACACUAAGAUUAUCAGGAAAGGAUUCAGAGCUUUUUUUUAAUCCAGAUUAUCACACAUGAUGCAAAAUUAACAACCACGACUUUGAAAUAUGGAGAUGAUGCUUAUUAUGUGCUAGAAAUCAAAUAUGUAAAGGAGAAGAUAAUGUUUGCGAAGGAGAGGGGAGAGAGAUACGGGUUGAUUCUGGGUAAACUUUGCUUAAUUUGUUGGAGAAAAUGCUCGAUAGAUCUCAUGGAUGGAUGAGGUUGUGGCAGUAGUUCUCGGGUGCAAUAUCUAUCUUGAUAGAGUGAUCGAUCAGGGCACAUUAGAAGCAGAAAGAAGAGGAAACGUUUGGGCCGUCUAUGGCGUUGAAGAUUCAGUGUUUCUGUCUUGUGUACAUGCACGGCCAGUUCAGUAACUAGAUGGCCUUUUCUACUGUACUGGUGCUGCUACUUUUCACAUGCUAGCUUCUUUGGAAAGCGCCAACAGUGUGUACAACAUGUAAAGAGUCCAUGUUGAAAGAACAGAAGCAGAAGUAUGGAGUUGAUGUAUUAAUGGUCAAUCAAGGAAUUCAGUCUCGAUGAGCUUAACUAAUGAUGUGUGGGUUGAGCCUUAGGUCAUUUUCAAAGUAACGGAAGUACAAGAGAUUACUUGAAAAUAUGCAUUUUUUCAAUGUGACAUGGUCUUAAGUGCGAUUUUAUACCACCAAAUUAAAAUGUGGUAUAAUCUCA